rnacentral:rRNA from 1 species
AGGGGAAUAUUGGACAAUGCGCGCAAGCCUGAUCCAGCCAUGCCGCGUGAGUGAUGAAGGCUCUAGGGUUGUAAAGCUCUUUCACCGGUGAAGAUAAUGACGGUAACCGGAGAAGAAGCCCCGGCUAACUUCGUGCCAGCAGCCGCGGUAAUACGAAGGGGGCUAGCGUUGUUCGGAUUUACUGGGCGUAAAGCGCACGUAGGCGGACUAUUAAGUCAGGGGUGAAAUCCCGGGGCUCAACCCCGGAACUGCCUUUGAUACUGGUAGUCUUGAGUUCGAGGGAAGUGAGUGGAAUUCCGAGUGUAGAGCUGAAAUUCGUAGAUAUUCUGAGGAACACCAGCGGCGAAGACGGCUCACUGGCUAGAAACUGACACUGAGGUGCGAAAGCGUGGGGAGCAAACAGG